CUCGAAAAUCGGUGUGAUUGAGAAGCUGAUGGAGAAAUGCGACAAGAUCAUCAUCGGAGGCGGUAUGGUGUUCACCUUCCUGAAGGCUAGAGGCCUCA
rnacentral:ribozyme from 1 species